rnacentral:lncRNA from 1 species
CGGGUUAUAAUGUAGGGACAUUGGUUAAGGUAGGGAAAUAUAGGCUAAGUGACUCAAAUAGAUCAAGAACAUCAACCUUAUAGCUUCACUAAUCAAGCAUGGAAUAAAUUCCAUCUUCCACCCAACUAUAUCACCAUAAUCAACACAACUCAAGGGAUUUAGUCAUCACAAAACAGAACUAAACACUCUUUUAUGCUCUCAACUUCUUUCCAACACACAAAGUCGACUUUCAAACAAAUAUCUCAAUAUACUCUCGACUUCACACUUUUUUUUUUCUUUCUUUCGUUUUCUUUUCUAAUUUUUUUCUUUUUUUUUCACAACUUUUCUAGAGCUUAUAAAAGUAAAUAGUAGCACAAAAUCAUCCCUUCUUUUCACAACCCACUAUGAAAAUUCACCACACAAAGAUCCCCAUAUACUUCAUCACCCCCUAUCAUCCAGCUAAAGAAUAAAAGCUAAAUAGGCUCAAAGUGGAUAACAAAGGAUAAUUUUUUCGUCAAGGACAGUGUUUGGGAAAAUAAUGUGGCUAACAAAAGAUGGCCUAAAAUCAUC